rnacentral:lncRNA from 1 species
UUUUCCUAAGAAGCAACUCGGACAUCUGACUCCAAAGUUUGUAUAACCAACAGAAUAUAUGACGGUAAGGAAAACAAGAUAUGUUAUAAAAAAUAUAUCGGGGAUAGUGGCACCAUUUAGAGUUCACUUUUAUCAAAUAGGGUUUGAAAGAAGUACACAAAAACAUGUGUGAAAUGAUAUUGACAUAAUUGUCCAUUGUUGUUUAGACCAUGUAGAUAUUUUAUAAUUUGAAAGUCAACAUUACUGAUGGAAUUAUAAUAAAAGUUAUAAAUAUAUAAUCAUUGUAUCAAUUUUCAGUAAACAGUACAUAACUAUAAAAAUUGCCCGCCAAACAUGUUUAGCCCCGCCCCAUUAUGUAUGGAGUCAGGAGCCUGUAAUUCACUCAUGUGUUGCUGUGUAACAUAUUGUUACGCCCCGGUGAUUUGAAAGAUGAUGUUUUUAGUGUGGUCUCCGUUCCACACUUGAUACACGCAGAUGUCCGUUGUUGUUUCAAAUUACACACGUUGUAUAAAAUACGGAACGCAUGUUCCUACGUUGAGCUUCUCUCCAAAAACCUCAAUGCAGUUAGCAGUCUCUCUUACACUAAAAUUUGCUGCACCAAGUAAGAGCACUUGGUGAUAAUGCAGUGCACCAAGUAGAUUUUAAUGCACCAAGUAUGCAGAGUAUUUGAAAGCAGUGCACCAAGUAGAUCUUCUUGCGCCGAGCAAUUGUUUAUUAAACUUGGUGCAAAUAAUGCACUUUGCCGUAUUGUUUAUUAAUUAUAACGUAUUUUGUUUCAUGAACCACUAUAUUUGUUGAAUUGUUCAAAUAGAAAUAAUACAAUAUUAUGAACUUCCAUUAUGAUUUUUAUUAUUACUUUCUUCACCGGAGGCCCACAAAAGUAACUACGGAUGUAUAUCCUGACAAGAAAACCCCGGAACAUUACAAUAUUUGUAUGAAUAUGAAUAGCAUAAUUAUCGAUAAAGAACGUAUAUGAUGAAGCUUAUUUUGUUUGUUUAGGUCUAUACAGAAGAAUACAUGUGUUGAUUUGUACGGCAUAAAUAUCAGGUGUCCACAAAAUCUAAUCACCAUAGGCAUUACCAUUGUUUCUGAAUACAUGUCACCUUGAUAAAGUGGGGUUUGACAAUGUUAAUCAAAUGUAAAACUCAAUGUAUAACACUUAGCCAUAUCUAUUAUAGUCACAUCACUAUUACCAGACAGUGCCCAAUCAAUAUCUGCACAGAACGAAGGUUUGAAAUCUGACGGGACAGAUCUUUCUAGAUUGGAUGAAAACACAAACAAUAAAGCUGUAAUUAUUAGUGCAGUAGUUGGGUCUAUUGGUUUAGCUAUAAUCAUCAUUAUUGUUAUCACUUUGUAUAAAU